rnacentral:rRNA from 1 species
UACGUAGGGAGCAAGCGUUGUUCGGAAUUACUGGGCGUAAAGGGCUCGUAGGUGGCCAACUAAGUCAUACGUGAAAUCCCUCGGCUUAACCGGGGAACUGCGUCUGAUACUGGAUGGCUUGAGUUUGGGAGAGGGAUGCGGAAUUCCAGGUGUAGCGGUGAAAUGCGUAGAUAUCUGGAGGAACACCGGUGGCGAAGGCGGCAUCCUGGACCAAUACUGACACUGAGGAGCGAAAGCCAGGGGAGCAAACGGG